rnacentral:rRNA from 1 species
GCUGGCCAUGAAUACGCCAAUGCAUUGUUCUAAGUUUAAAUGGGUAUACAGUGGAAACUGGCGAAGAGCUCAUUCAAACAGUUAUAGUUUAUUUUGGUAAUCCGAAUUUACAUGGGAUAACCGUGGGUAAUUUCUAGAGCUAAUACAUGGCUGUAAAGCCCGACUCUUUCGGAAGGGGCCGUAUUUAUUAGAUAACAGACCAAUAUUUCCUCGUGUCUAUUGUGGUGAAUCAUAGUAACUAAUCGGAUCGCAUGGGCUAGUCCCGCGACAAACCAUUCAAGUUUCUGCCCCAUCAGCUUUCGAUGGUAGUGUAUUGGACUACCAUGGCUUUUACGGGUAACGGAGGAUUAGGGUUCGAUUCCGGAGAGGGAGCCUGAGAAACGGCUACCACAUCUAAGGAAGGCAGCAGGGCGCGUAAAUUACCCAAUUCCUAAUUUCAGAGAGGUAGUGACAAGAAAUAACGGGGUCGGGGCUAUGCCCCCGGGACUGCAAUGAGAUGA